rnacentral:sRNA from 1 species
AUGUCCCACGCGUACAUUCCGGUUCCUCCGCGCCGUCCGCACCCACCUGACGACUGCUCGCUACGUUUUGUUAGCC